rnacentral:lncRNA from 1 species
GCUACAGGGAAGAUCCACUAGAUGGCACCAAUCCCUCCUUGUCAAAACUGUUCACCAGCAUAAACAUUUUGAUGUCUUCCUCUCAGUCUUAGAGGUUGGUCUGCCAUCUGUGGGUGCCAGAGAAGAGGAAACAGUAGAACUGAAGAAAUUAAGGUUUCUCCUAAGCCUCUGUUCUGACUUCCAGCCCAAGUAUACGGAAGUGUUUGAUGUUGAUAUGAAAACAACUGCCUGUAAUUGUGAAGCUGCGGGAUGGAAGUCAUGGAGCCUUGGAUUUAGUCCUAACACUGUGUGUCCUUGGGUAAUAUAUACACACGGGGCCGAGAAAUGAAAUAUUGCUGGCUGUAUCAGAAAACUCACAGUCAUCAGCGAUUGCAGCACAGGUGAGCUGGUGAACCCUGAGGGAAGUCAGGAAGGAAACAAAGAGUACCUGCCACCUAGAAGCCAUGAGACUGCAGCCGCUCCCUAUGGUGAGCCCUGAAGGAACUCAGGAUGAGAAAACACAGGAUACUAGCCCCAGACAGCUGAGAUGCAUAUCAAAGGAAGGAUUUCAAUGAGCCCACUCUUAACAUCUUCCCACAGGUAGAAAAGCAGCAAAUUCCUUAAGACACCUAGUUUUCUUUUAUUAACAGUAAUCUUUUAUUUCCAGUACCUGCCCUUUGUUGCAAAACUCCUAUAUAUCCUAGCUUCCACUUCACCUUCUUGAAGCAGUUUUCUCAGGGUUACUUGAGAUGUUGCUCUGGUGCUUAAAGUUGGUGGCAUGUCACCUGAAGAAAACACAACCCUUAACUUUUAGGUGGUGAAUAUAUAUAUUUUUAGUCGACCCUGCACCACUAAAAACCGGAGAAGGCCCUGGCGAAGACCCACUUCAGUACUCUUGACCGGAAAAUCCCAUGGACGGAGGAGCCUGGUAGGCUGCAGUCCACGGGGUUGCUAAGAGUCAGACAUGACUGAGCGACUUCACUUUCACUUUUCACUUUCAUGCAUUGGAGAAGGAAAUGGCAAUCCACUCCAGCAUUCUUGCCUGGAGAAUGCCAGAGACAGGAGAGCCUGGUGGUCUGCCGUCUAUGGGGUUGCACAGAGUCGGACAUGACUGACGUGACUUAGCAGCAGUAGCCGAAGCCACAAAACUAAAAACAGUAACAGGACAAGAUACAUAAUAAGUAAAUCUCCUUCCCACUCCAGUUCCUUAGGCAAUACAUUUGCUUCUUCUCAGAGAUAUUGCAUGCAUGC